UAGGGAAUCUUCGGCAAUGGACGGAAGUCUGACCGAGCAACGCCGCGUGAGUGAAGAAGGUUUUCGGAUCGUAAAGCUCUGUUGUUAGAGAAGAACGUUGGUAGGAGUGGAAAAUCUACCAAGUGACGGUAACUAACCAGAAAGGGACGGCUAACUACGUGUCAGCAGCCGCGGUAAUACGUAGGUCCCGAGCGUUGUCCGGAUUUAUUGGGCGUAAAGCGAGCGCAGGCGGUUCUUUAAGUCUGAAGUUAAAGGCAGUGGCUUAACCAUUGUACGCUUUGGAAACUGGAGGACUUGAGUGCAGAAGGGGAGAGUGGAAUUCCAUGUGUAGCGGUGAGAUGCGUAGAUAUAUGGGGGAACACCGGUGGCGAGAGCGGCUAACUGGUCUGUAACUGACGCUGAGGCUCAAAAGCGUGGGGGGCAAACAGG
rnacentral:rRNA from 1 species